rnacentral:lncRNA from 1 species
GGGGAACUCAAUUUUCCUAUCAAUACGGCCAGGACGAAGCAAAGCUGGAUCAAGACUUUCAAUUCGGUUUGUUGCAAGAAUCACUUUGACGUCUCCUCUCGAAUCAAAGCCAUCCAAUUGGUUCAGCAACUCCAACAUGGUCCUCUGAAUUUCACGUUCACCACCAGAAUGGGCAUCAUACCUGUAUAGCAGAUUGAUGAGAAAAAUUCCUAGUCUAUUUCCAUCAAGGCAUGAUUGUUUCACUGCCUUACCUCUUAGUACCAACUGCAUCAAUUUCAUCAAUGAAGACGAUUGAAGGGGAAAGGUCAUCAGCAACUCUGAAGAGUUCCCUAACUAACUUGGGACCAUCUCCCAAGUACUUCUGAAUCAAUUCACUGCCAACAACACGUAAGAAAGUUGCUGAUGUAGAAUUAGCCACCGCCUGAAAGAACAUAAAUGACAUAAUAAAAUCAGCUCUGACUUUAUACAACAAACAAUCCAGAAAAGUAUGGCAAUAGCAUAAACUAUUAACAUGCGCAUAUGACCAAGACAAAUAAGUAACAUAUAUUUCAAGUUCACAUGUGUCUAUGCUGUCCCUCAAAUCUGACUUUUGGAAGCUUAUCAUGUCCAUGCCUUGCACUUAUGACUAGAACUGAGAUGUGACAUUUUGUCUCUUAAUCAGAGAAGAGAUUAACAUGAAACAGAGGGGUAUGGAAAUAUAUGAACGAAUACCUUUGCAAGCAAGGUCUUGCCAGUGCCAGGUUCUCCAUACAAGAUAACUCCUUUUGGAGGUUUGAUACCGAUGUCUUCAUACAGUUCAGGAUGAGUCAGAGGGAGCUCAACUGCCUCUUUAAUCUCCUGUAUUUGAGCAUCCAAACCUCCUAUAUCGGCAUAAGAUUCCAAUGGAGCCUUUUCAACCUUCAUAACUGAUACCAUGGGAUCAACUUCAUCUUGCAGAAGUCCAACAACAGAAAGAACCUAAAAACAUACAAUAACCAAGCAUAAAUUUCCCACUGAAAAGUAAAUUGCAAGAGAUGAAGAAAGAAAGAUGCAAAACCAUCAAAUAAAUGGAAAUUUAUACUAGUAUUUCGGACCAGCAAGGGUACCAUGUGACAUAGAAUAAUAACACCACACGAAUAUCACCAACUAGUCCUGUCAAUUCUAACCCGAACCCGUAAACCAAUCUGAUCAACAUGAACACAAACCUGAACCAACUCAUUUUGACCAUUAAAAGUCAACAACCCACACCCAAAAUAACCUGAACCUGAAAAAACACAAACCCAAAAUAACCCAAAGAGGUAAUCCAAAAUGACCAAAACCUAAACUGACCAGAACCUGAAAUGAUUCAAAACCCGAGAUGGCCAAACCAAAAAAAUCCUAGCCUCAAACCCAAAAUAUUGACCUAAACUAUAAAUGACCUGAAAUUUUCAAAACUCAAAUGGACUUAAUCAAGACUGAUCGGAUCCAAAAUGAACUUGAAUGCCCAAUUGACAAAUAUAUCACCAACUAUGAUAGCUAAUUUGAUGAGCCAAAUAUCCCUUCUUGAACUCGUUUAACUCAUUUUUGAAUUAAACAAGUGAUCAAAAGUUUUUUUAAAAAAAAAAAACUCACCGUUUUAAUCAAAGUAACAACACAUAAUUAAAACCCUGUUAUCAAUUUCACAAGAAUUCUAAAUUGCAGCAGUUCUAUCAGCUUGCAGCUACAGAUAUAAAACCACAUAUCUAUCCAGCACUGAAUCUAAAUUACAAAUUAAAAUAUUUUAGCACAAUAAUUCAGUUCCUUUCAGCUGGAAUACUUUCAAUCGUUUACCUUUAAACAAUAUCAUCUUUAAAAAAAAACCCAGAAAGCUUAAGAAAUUAAUUUACCUUGUUGUGCAUCAAAAUAGCGCAUCCAGGCUCCAACUGAUCCUUAUCCACAAACGAUAAAAUCCCAACGUAAUACUCCGGCCCAACCGACGACGAAACAAUAGCAUGAUUCUCAUCGAUCAACUCCUCCAAAUUACCCACACUCAUUGGCGACCCUCUCAAAUCAUCGACUUU